rnacentral:rRNA from 1 species
CCACCUGGUUGAUCCUGCCAGUAGUCAUAUGCUUGUCUCAAAGACUAAGCCAUGCAUGUCUAAGUAUAAACACUUUUAUACUCAUGAAACUACGAAUGGCUCAUUAAAACAGUUAUAGUUCCUUUGGGAACCACACUACUUGGAUAACCGCAGUAAUUCUAGAGCAAAUACAUGCCUCAACGCCAGACUCACGAAGGGUGGUUUUUAUUGGAUAAAAAACCAUCGCGCUCUUUCCGGAGCCCUUUCGAUGAUUCACUUGUCGGAUCGCAUGGCCUCGAGCUGGCGCAUCCUCAUUCAAAUUUAUGCCCCAUCAACUUUCGAUGGUAGAGUAUUGGUCUACCAUGGUGUCGACGGAUGACGGGGAACUAGGGUUCGAUUCCGGAGAGGGAGCCUGAGAAACGGCUACCACAUCCAAGGAAGGCAGCAGGCGCGCAAAUUACCCAAUCCCGACUCGGGGAGGUAGGGACAACAAAUAACAAUAGGGGGCCUUGUAGGCCUUCUAAUUGGAAUGAGAACAAUUUAAAUCCCUUAUCGAGGAUCCAUUGGAGGGCAAGUCUGGUGAACGCGCACGCGUCCAAAGUCCUCUACACACAAAAAAAAAAACAGCGCCAAAKGUYUUUUGSGGAAAAAAAAAACGACUCAUGAKGAACACRACMCCGRGGGCGGGGGGNMCUCUGCUYUUUUUUUAUGUGNGNGNGNGNGNGNNANNCGGGGANUAAAAAANGGCAAAGNGGCAANCGANGGCAAAAAAAAAAAAACAGNCCCCCNAANGGGGGGNCCCCNCCACCGGAAAAAGCAAAGNAGGGNCCCCCCNUCCUACNNUUUNAAAUUGNNGNAAAGNGCCCNUUAGGCNUUAANUNCCGNGGCCCNCCNANNGGGGNGNACAANNANUNUUUNANNACCCAAAAGUGUAUGUAGUGUUACAUGGAAGGUAAAACCGUCAAGGAUAGGGUUUAUCCGCAGGGAAGCGCGAGUGUCGCCCUAUGCCCGUUGGGCGUGUGGAGGGGCAAAGGCGAACCUACAGACUCUCAUGGAGUGGGCGCAAGCUGAAGGGAGAGUCCAAUCCACUGGGAAUCCAGGUCCACAGUAGUAGUGGGGUGAUGCUCGGCCCAGAGGACUUGUGGAAGGCACCACCAACAAAGCAAAGAAAAAUGUUGUCGGGUAUGCAUGGCCAGCAGCCGCGGUAAUUCCAGCUCCAAUAGCGUAUUUUGAUGUUGUUGCAGGUAAAACGCUCGCGGUCGGACCUCGGAGCGCCCCCACGGGCCGGGUUCUUGCCCAGUUGCCAGUGGGAGUUUGACGCCUUUUGUCAGGACGCGUUGUGCGGGGAUUUUAAUGUCUCUGCGCGUUUACCUGCGGGCCGACCGUUUACUGUGAAGAAAGUAAAUUCUUCAAAGCAGGCCAAUGCCUUGAAUAUGUGAGCAUUGACCAAUAGAAUAAGACUUGGGCUCUAUUUUGUUGAUUUCCUGUGACUAAGUAAUGAUUAAUAGGGAUGGUUGGUGGCAUUCGUAUUUCAUUGUCAGAGGUGAAAUUCUAGGAUUGAUGGAAGACGUACAACUGCGAAAGCAUCUGCCAUGGAUGUUUUCAUUGAUCAAGAACGAAAGUUAGGGGAUCGAAGACGAUCAGAUACCGUCGUAGUCUUAACCAUAAACGAUGCCGACUGGGGAUUGGCGGGGGCACUUGUAUAUGACUCCGUCAGCACCCUGAGGGAAACCAAAGUCUUUGGGUUCUGGGGGGAGUAUGGUCGCAAGGCUGAAACUUAAAGGAAUUGACGGAAGGGCACCACCAGGAGUGGAGCCUGCGGCUUAAUUUGACUCAACACGGGAAAACUUACCAGGUCCGGACAGAAGAAUGAUUGACAGACUGAAAGCUCUUUCUUGAUUUUUUGGUUGGUGGUGCAUGGCCGUUCUUAGUUGGUGGAGUGAUUUGUCUGGUUAAUUCCGUUAACGAACGAGACCUCGUCCUGCUAAAUAGGUGCGCGCAUGCCAGAACUGCGUUCUUACCUUCUUAGAGGGACUGUGCGCGUCUAGCGUACGGAAGAUUGAGGCAAUAACAGGUCUGUGAUGCCCUUANAUGUUCUGGGCCGCACGCGCGCUACACUGAUGCAUUCAACGAGUUUCACUUGAUCGUCCUGGGUCGGAAGGCUCGGGUAAUCUUUUGAAAGUGCAUCGUGCUGGGGAUAGAUCAUUGCAAUUAUUGAUCUUCAACGAGGAAUUCCUUGUAGGCGCAGGUCAUCAGCCUGCGCCGAAUACGUCCCUGCCCUUUGUACACACCGCCCGUCGCUCCUACCGAUUGAAUGGUCCGAUGAAAUGUCCGGAUUGCGGCUGGUGUGAUGGACUAGUCCAGAGCGGCAGCCGUGAGAAGCUCAUUAAAUCUUAUCAUUUAGAGGAAGGAGAAGUCGUAACAAGGUUUCCGUAUUAUGUGGAUAGAGACCAAUCAAUCAGCCAAAGGCGCCUGUUUACUAUGUCUCCACCAUGUGCAUGUGGUAAACAAACGUCCAUGUGGUUCGUCCUUCCGUAUGGGAAACGUACACGAAGCCUUUGCAGCCCGAAAGGGUGCACAGUCCGCGACUAUAAACACUGAGCCUGUGGUCAAUGCAAGCAGCGGCGCCCUUUUUAUUAUGGACGCAGCUGCGACUUUCUCAAAUUGCGGGGACACCCUAAAGUCAACAAACACCGCGGCCUGGCGUGAAAGCGUCUUGGGGUGCAGCAGUCGGGGUAGCGCCCUGAUGGAUGGUAAAAGCUUUGUUGAAUGCAGCGCCCUUGUAUGGGCGUGAAAGUGGGCAAUCCGCAGCCAAGCCCCUCAGACCCGUCCACCAUGCCGUGGAUGGGUUAUGGGGAAGGUUCACAGACUGUAAGGGAAGGGGUUCUUUCUCUAUAUAGAAGGGCUUUAGAGACAGUCGGUCCCCUGCGAAAGCAGUGUCUCAUGUGAGGAAGGCGCCCAUGAAAAGUGGGCGCUGGAGAGCCAUGGGACGCCCGAUACAUAUACCGGGCGGGAGAGUUUUCCUAGACAAUGAGAAAAACACGCACGUUCCGUAGGUGAACCUGCAGAAGGAUCAAGCUAG